rnacentral:lncRNA from 1 species
GCCGGUAACUGGUGGCGGUUGGGAACGGCCGAAUGUGGCUCUUCUGGUGUUUCAGCUUGGGGAGAGAGGGGUGGCCUUCCUCUUGCAGUUGAGGCCGGCGCUGAGCCGGACUUCAGCCGGAUCUCGUGGCGGAGCCCAUCUUGCUACCUCUCCCAGGCCUUUACCCGCUCCCUAGGAUUCCCGGGCCCUGUAGGUGGGAGUUGGGAGACGACAGUACUGCUUUUAAAGAGACAGUGUUAGGGAUCUUGGAAGCACAGCCAACAUGUGUGACAUUGAAGAAGCCACUAACCAACUCCUAGAUGUGAACCUUCAUGAGAACCAGAAGUCUGUACAAGUGACAGAAAGUGACCUGGGAAGUGAAUCUGAGCUUCUAGUCACUAUUGGAGCCACUGUACCUACUGGCUUUGAGCAAACAGCUGCAGAUGAAGUCAGAGAGAAACUUGGGUCAUCAUGCAAAAUCAGCAGAGACCGUGGCAAGAUAUAUUUUGUCAUUUCAGUGGAAAGUCUGGCACAGGUUUGAAUGGAGCAAUAUUUAAAAUAGUUUUCUAAGUUGAUCAUUUUAUGGUUACUUUUCAUUUUAUAGACCCUUCUGGAAUCCUUUCUGAUUCUCAUUGCUCUGCCCCAAAUCAGGUGAUUUUAAAGUUACUGCAUUUUCUAUUGAGUACUGAUUUGUAAUUUUGACUGUAGUUUCAGUAUCCCUUAGGACCAAAAGUGUUUCAGAUUUUUGGAGGGGGGUGGGGGGAGUUUUGGAAUAUUUGCAUUAUACUUGCCAGUUGAGCAUUUCUUUUUUUUUUUCUUU